rnacentral:misc_RNA from 1 species
GAUGAAGAACGUAGCGAAAUGCGAUACUUGGUGUGAAUUGCAGAAUCCCGUGAACCAUCGAGUCUUUGAACGCAAGUUGCGCCCGAAGCCAUUAGGCCGAGGGCACGCCUGCCUGGGCGUCACACGUCGUUGCCCCCCCAUCUACUCCUUCGGGAUUGCGGGGGGCGGAUGAUGGCCUCCCGUGCGCCUCGCCGCGCGGUUGGCAUAAAUGCCAAGUCCUCGGCGACGCACGCCACGACAAUCGGUGGUUGCGAAACCUCGGUUGCCCGUCGUGUGCGGUCGUCGCGCAUCGAGGGCUCGAAAAAAUUGCCGGGUUCCAGCUCGGCUUUCAACGCGACCCCAGGUCAGGCGGGGUUACCCGCUGAAUUUAAGCAUAUCAAUAAGCGGAGGA